rnacentral:lncRNA from 1 species
CAUUCUUGAAGUCAGUGAGACCAAGAGCCCACCAAUUCCAGACACAUGUUGACUGAUGUCUCAUGUCUCCCUAAAAUGUAUAAAACCAAGCUGUGCCCCUACCACCUUAGGCACAUGUUGUCAGGACCUCCUGAGGCUGUCAUGGGCACAUGUCCUCAACCUUGGCAAGAUAAACUUUCUAAAUUAACUGAGACUUGUCUCAGACUUUGGGGGUUCAUAUUUUGGCAACCACGAAGGGAUUAUAUGUGGAGAUGCCCCUGACCUUAGGCAAAUCUCCUAUCAGUGCUUGGUACCAGCCUGAGCUAACUUUAUGGCUCAAACCAAUAGGACAAUUUGUUGAGGUCUGGAAGCACUCCCUCCAGAGAAUCCCCAAAAUUUGCUUGAGAUCAAAAGUUUAUUUUGCUAUACAACUCCUUUUUUUUUUUUUUUUUUUUUUUUUGGAGUUUUCCUUGCUUCCAACAAGGAAGGUAGGAUUUCCUGUUUCCAUGACAAUGGAAGGCAGGUAACUGCCUUAUAGAGUUUGAGCUCACUCCCAGCAAGGAAGAUGAGUUUGAGGGUUUUUUUCCUGCUUCUAGGAUGGUAGAAAGCAGUCUUCAGCCUGAGACCCAUUCCUAGGUGCUCUUGAGUACAAGUUUCUGAUAACUUUGGAGAUUGUGACAUCAGAAUAGAGGAAAAACUUUUAGGACUCAUGGAGAAGUGAAAUGUUCAUGAACAUCAGGCAGAACAGGAAUUAACUGCAUGGACAGAACUAAUACAAAACUGAGGACAUGAGACUUCACAACCUGCUAAAAAUGAACUUUCCUAAUAACUGGGGACCUACCCGUCUAGGAAUAAACCAUCCUAGCCAUGACAGAUCAGAUGAAACCUGAGACCAGAGACUCAUUUUCUCCUAAAAUGCUUUCUCCAAAAGAUUUUUAAAAAGAAAAGGGGGAAAAUAUGAAUGGAAAAUAAAUCUUGGGGCCCCAACAUCACUAAGCUAAAGGGAAAAGUCAAGCUGGGAACUGCUUAGGGCCAACCUGCCUCCCAUUCUAUUCAAAGUCACCUCUCUGCUCACUGAGAUAAGUGUAUAUCUGACUGCCUCAUUUGGAGAGGCUAAUCAGAAACUCAAAAGAAUGCAACCAUUUGUCUCUUAUCUACCUAUGACCUGGAAACCCCCUCCGCACUUUGAGUUGUCCCACCUGUGAAAGGAAAAUAAAUCUUGGGGCCCCCAAAUCACUAAGCUAAAGGGAAAAGUCAAGCUGAGAACUGCUUAGGGCCAACCAUCCUCUCAUUCUAUUCACAGUCACCCCUCUGCUCACUGAGAUAGAUGCUAUCUGAUUGCCUCCUUUGGAAAGGCUAAGCAGAAACUCAAAAGAAUGCAACUUUCCAUCUCUCACCUAUCUGUGACCUGGAAGCCCAGUCCCUGCUUUGAGUCUUCCUGCCUUUGCUUCAAGCUGUCCCGCCUUUCCAGACCAAACCAAUGUACUUCUUACAUAUAUUGAUGUCUCAUGUCUCAUGUCUCCCUAAAAUGUAUAAAACUAAACUGUGCCCCUACCACCUUGGGCACAUGUCGUCAGGACUUCCUGAGGCUGUGUCAUGGGCACAUCCUCUACCCUGGCAAAAUAAACUUUCUAAAUUAACUGGGACCUACCUCAAAUUAUCUGGGUUCACACGCCUUUGCCUCGAGUUGUCCCACCUUUCCGGACUGAACCAAUGUACAUCUUAACACAUACUGAUUGAUGUCUAAUGUCUCUCUAAAAUGUAUAAAACCAAGCUGUGCUCUGACCACCUUAGGCACUUGUCAUCAGGAUCUCCUGAGGCCAUAUUAUGGGUGCACGUCCUCAACCUUGGCAAAAUAAGCUUUCUAAAUUAACUGAGACGUGUCUCAGAUUUUCGGGAUUCACAAUCUCCACUCUUCACCAAACCUACAAUAAAAAACCCUCAGCUUCUCAGCUUUAACUGUUUCUUCGGGUCUUCAUUUUCUUAUGAAGGUUCAUGUGUCACAUAAAACUUUAAAAAAUUUGUACACUUUUCUCUCAUUAAUCUGUCUUCUGUUAUAGGGCCUCAGCCAUGAACUUGGAAUGGGUAGAUUAAAAAAAAUAUUUUUCCUCCCCUACACAUUUUUUUUUUUUUUUUUGAGACGGAGUCUCAGUCUGUUGACCAGGCUCAAGUGCAAUGGCGUGGUCUUGGCUCACUGCAACCUCUGCCUCCCAGUUUAAGCAAUUAUCCUGCCUCAGCCUCCUGACUAGCUGGGACUACAGGCGCGUGCCACCACACCUGGCUAAUUUUUUUGUAUUUUUAGUAGAGAUCGGGUUUCAUCAUGUUGGCCAGGCUGGUCUUGAACUCCUGACCUCAUGAUCCGCCCGCCUCGGCCUCGCAAAGUGCUGAGAUUACAGGCGUGAGCCACCACACCUGGCCCUCCCCUACACAUUUCUAAGUAUCUUACCUGAUUUUCUAUGGCACCUUUGGGUUGCAGAACCUUAGCUGUAGGAGAAAUGGUGGUGACGGCCAAUGUCUGGCACUGACUUUAACAGAGUACAGAUGUGUAUGUAAAUAGUACUUAUUUUAACAAAAUAGAAAGUUCAAGAAAGAAAUACAGCAACAAAAGUGACAAUUAGAUUGGAAGAGACCCAUUCUUGUUUGCUUGUUUUCUCCAUAAGCCAUCUAGCUUUUUUUUUUUUUUUUGUGAGACGGUCUCACUGUCUCCCAGGCUGGAGUGCAGUGGUGCCAUCACAGCUCACCUCAGCCUUGACCUCCCAGGCUCAAGUGAUCCUCCCACCUUAGCCUCUCAAGUAGCUGGAAGUAUAGGCAUGUACCACCAUGCCCAGCUAAUUUUUUUUUAUUUUUCAUGGAGACAGGGUCUCACUAUAUUGCCCAAGCCAGUCUUGAAUUCCUGGGCUGAAGCGAUCCUCCUGCCUCAGCCUCCCAAAAUGUUGGGAUUAUAGUCAUGAGCUACCAUGCCCAGCCCUAACUCCAUUCUUAAUUGUCACUUAGCCUACACUUUCACUUCAUUGACAUUUAUAGGCUGACAACAAGCAGAUGAAGAUACCAUUGAAACAGUGCCACCACUCACCCAACUGUCCUGUCAGUCAGGAAAAGCACAUCCCCACUGGGUCUCAGAGCUCUCGGCCCGUUGUCUUUGCACUGUGUGACCACACACAAAACCAGGUAAAGUAUUUACCUGCUUUGUUCAGGAGGCUGUCCUUGGCUCUCUAGUUUCUGAUAGGACCCCAUUUUAAACUCUCAAGCCCCCUUGUCCUUGUUCUUUGAUAGUGUCAUAGCCUCUAAACAUAUCACAAUUAUUAAUAUAAUUAAAUACUUAUUUCCCUAUAGAUUUGUUUAAAGCCUGCCUUCCCCCAAGAGAUGGUCAGGUCUGAAGGCAGGUUUGUUACAGAUGACAGGCUCUUGGGCUCAUCAUGUAAUAAAAGUUAACAUGGGGACAAGCAGAUUUCCAGAAAAGGCUUUUAUCUUGGGGCUUGUGCUCGAGUGCAGGGGAGACACCAGAGGUACAAGGACCCUCAAGCUGACUCCCUGAAAAGGUGGUAGGGAUUUUUUUUAUUAGGCAAACACAGGAAUUGGUAUCAUGGGUAGGGUAUGCAGGCUGGCCUGGGCAAAGCACGUGACGGGUAGGGGAUGCUGGUUAGCGUAUCUAGUUGUGAUGGUUAUCUUGAGUAAUGGGCCACCUGGGGGUCUGGCCAGCUGUAACAAGGCUGCAAAUCAAUUGUUCAGGGUUCCUUCCCUUCCCAUGAUGGGACAUUCUGAAACCUCGGUUUGAUGUUUAGAUUUCCUAAGGCCAGUUCCUGGAAUUCUUUUAAGUAAAAGGCAUGAUUAAACAUUAUGAGAGCACAGAAGAAUGGCUAUUUUCUUUGUAAGCCUGAAGCCUUAUCUAAAACCAAUUGUCAGCAAGGCAGGGGUGUGGGUCUUGUGAUCAGUGAGACAAGAAGAAAAAAAAAAACGUGAAAAAGGAACUGAGUUCCUUUUCUAUUCUAUCUGAGGUUACUCCCCACUGCACCCCCGGCACCUGACAUUGUGAGAGGCAUUUGAACCAGAGUGACUCCAUCUUGAAUAGGGGCUGGGUAAAAUGAAUCUGAGACCUACUGGGCUGCAUUCCCAGGAGGUUAGGCAUUCUUAGUCACAGGAUGAGAUAGGAGGUUGGCAGGACUGGUAUCACAAGAUACAGGUCAUAAAAACUCUGACCAUAAAACAAGAUGUGGUAUAGAAGCCAGCCAAAACCAAGAUGGUGAGAAAAGUGACCUCUAGUCAUCCUCACUGCUCAUUAUACUCAAAUUAUAAUGCAUUAGCAUGCUUAAAGAAAUUUCCACUAGCACCAUGACAGCUUACAAAUGCCAUGGCAGUGUUCAGAAGUUACCCUAUAUAGUCUAAAAAGGGGAGGAACCCUCAGUUCCAGGAAUUCCCCACCCCUUUCCCAGAAAACUCAUGAAUGAUCUACCCUUUAUUUAGCAUAUGAUCAAGAAAUAACCAUAAGUAUACCCAGUCAGCAGCGCGUGCCGCUGCUGUGUCUAUGGAGUAGCCAUUCUUUUGUCUCUUUUACUUCUCUAAUAAACUUUAUUCUAUGAAUUUGCCCCCAAAUUCUUUCUUGCGCAAGAUCCAAGAACCCUCUUUUGGGGUCUGGACUGGGACCCCUAUCACCAUGCCUGGCUCAAGAAACAUUUGUUGAGUAAUGAUUUAUAGUGACUUUCUAUGUGCUCAUGUCUCACUCUUGUUCCAGUACCUGUAUGCUAAGCAGCCAUGCUACUGUCCUUCUGUGCUUCCCUACAUUCCAAGUUCAAGGGGACAGGAUGGUUUAUUGUUUCUUAAGUGCUUGUCUUUCUGGUCCUGUUUACAUGCAUCAUUAGCCCACAGGAAAGCACUCUGUUACAAAUGACUUUAGAAAUCACAAUCAUUAAAAUUGAAAACUUCCAUUUAAGCCAGACUACCCCUUUGUGAUGUUAAAAGUGUUGCCUCUGAGCUUCCAACCCCCUCUCUAUGAGGCCUAUUCCAGCUUUUAACCUACCGUGGGUGCGGGCUUUUCAUUUGGAGCCUCUUGUGAUCUUCAAGCUGUAAUUUUCGCAAGCAGGGCCCUAAAGCUCUUUAAUUUUUUUGUUUACCAGAAUUACUCAUUUCAUUUUUGUAUGUGCUUGGUAGAUGAAUUUUCUGUGGCAUCUUACAAAAUAAGGCCAUAAUACCUUAUGGCAUUAAAAAAAAGUUGGGGGGGGAGCAAAACCACCACAAAAAAAUUAACUGAACAAUUAAAAUAUUUAAAUUAGUAUUAGAAAGCUUAAAUGUAGGCAACAACUAAGUCAUCUCAAGCACAUUCAACAGGAAAAAGUAGAAAACAUACUAGAUAAGAACGUCAGAGAAUGGGGCAAGGACUGGGGGAGGUGAAGGAGGUGCAGAGCUGGAUCCUGUCUUUAUUUGAAAAUUUGAUUUUGUGUUCAAAUGUGAAUUAUUUCAUUUUGAUUUUUUUUUUUUUUUUUUUUGAGACGGAGUCUUGCUCUUGUCGCUCAGGCUGGAGUGCAAUGGUGCAAUCUCAGCUCACUGCAACCUCCGCCUCCCGGGCUCAAGCAAUUCUCCUGCUUCAUCCUCCCAAGUAGCUGGGAUUACAGGCACGGGCCACCAUGCC